GAAACUUUUCCUUUUCCAGAACAAGACUUAGAUGAAAAUAUCCCUAGUACUAGUACACAAUUUCAAUGGGUUCGUCAGGAUGUAGACGAAGAUAUUUACGAUUUAUGAUGUAGUAAGAUUUUAUGAUUUUUUAUUUAUAUGUAAUGUUACAAUAUUAACAUUGGUCAUGUUAUAUAAUUUAACUAUUUUAUAUUUACUAUUGUUGUUAUUUCUUACUAAAAUUUUAUCUAUUUUAUGUGUUGCA
rnacentral:lncRNA from 1 species